rnacentral:rRNA from 1 species
GAUGAACGCUGACAGAAUGCUUAACACAUGCAAGUCGAUGAGAAGACUCCCUUCGGGGAGAGGGUAUCAUGGCGGACGGGUGAGUAACGCGUAAAGAACUUGCCAUAUGGACUGGGAUAACCGAUGGAAACGACGGAUAAGACCAGAUAUAAUGGACUGAUGGCAUCAUUGGGUGAUGAAAAGCAAUGCCAUAUGAGAGCUUUGCGUCCUAUUAGCUAGUUGGUAGUGUAAUGGACUACCAAGGCGAUGAUAGGUAGCCGGCCUGAGAGGAUGGACGGCCACAAGGGGACUGAGAUACGGCCCUUACUCUUACGGGAGGCAGCAGUGGGGAAUAUUGGACAAUGGAGGUAACUCUGAUCCAGCAAUUCUGUGUGCACGACGAAGGUCUUCGGAUUGUAAAGUGCUUUAAGUUGGGACGAAGAAAAUGACGGUACCAACAGAAUAAGCGACGGCUAAAUACGUGCCAGCAGCCGCCGUAAGAC